GCCUAUGGCCGUACCACCCUGAACACGCAUGAUCUCAUCUACCUCAGCAGCUAAGCAGGGUCGGGCCUGGUUAGUACUUGAAUGGAAUCAGAAGCCAUAAUAA
rnacentral:rRNA from 1 species